UACAGAGGUCCCAAGCGUUGUUCGGAUUCACUGGGCGUAAAGGGUGCGUAGGUGGUGAGGUAAGUCGGAUGUGAAAGCUCGGAGCUCAACUCCGAAAUGGCAUUGGAAACUACCUUGCUCGAGGGUUGGAGGGGGGACUGGAAUGCUUGGUGUAGCAGUGAAAUGCGUAGAGAUCAUGAGGAAGACCAGUGGCGAAGGCGGGUCUCUGGACAGUUCCUGACACUGAGACACGAAGGCCAGGGGAGCAAACGGG
rnacentral:rRNA from 1 species